AUUGAACGCUGGCGGCAGGCCUAACACAUGCAAGUCGAACGAGUGGCGGACGGGUGAGUAAUGUCUGGGAAACUGCCCGAUGGAGGGGGAUAACUACUGGAAACGGUAGCUAAUACCGCAUACCAUCGGAUGAUGCCAGAUUGGAUUAGCUAGUCGGUGGGGUAAAGGCUAACCUAGGCGACGAUCCCUAGCUGGUCUGAGAGGGUGAUCGGCCACACUGGAACUGAGACACGGCCCAGACUCCUACGGGAGGCAGCAGUGGGGAAUAUUGCACAAUGGGCGCAAGCCUGAUGCAGCAAGGCCGCGUGUAUGAAGAAGGCCUUCGGGUUGUAAAGUACUUUCAGCGAGGAGGCGUUACUCGCAGAAGAAGCACCGGCUAACUCCGUGCCAGCAGCCGCGGUAAUAC
rnacentral:rRNA from 1 species